GUCUUUUUGGAGACGUCCAAUAAAAUUGGAACGAUACAUAGAAGAUUAUCAUGGCCCCUGCACAAGGAUGACCCGCAUAAACUGAGAAAUUGUCUAAAUUUUU